rnacentral:rRNA from 1 species
GACCUCAAAUCAGGUAGGACUACCCGCUGAACUUAAGCAUAUCAAUAAGCGGAGGAAAAGAAACUAACAAGGAUUCCCCUAGUAACUGCGAGUGAAGCGGGAAAAGCUCAAAUUUAAAAUCUGGCAUGCCUCUGGCUGUCCGAGUUGUAGUCUGGAA